rnacentral:rRNA from 1 species
CUCCUGGAAACGGGUGGUAAUGCCGGAUGCUCCGCCCCCUCGCAUGGGGGGUCGGGAAGGCUUUUGCGGAAUGGGAUGGGGUCGCGUCCUAUCAGCUUGUUGGCGGGGCGACGGCCCACCAAGGCUUCGACGGGUAGCCGGCCUGAGAGGGCGACCGGCCACAUUGGGACUGAGAUACGGCCCAGACUCCUACGGGAGGCAGCAGUGGGGAAUAUUGCACAAUGGGGGGAACCCUGAUGCAGCGACGCCGCGUGCGGGAUGGAGGCCUUCGGGUCGUGAACCGCUUUUGAUUGGGAGCAAGCGUGAGUGAGUGUACCUUUCGAAUAAGCACCGGCUAACUACGUGCCAGCAGCCGCGGUAAUACGUAGGGUGCAAGCGUUGUCCGGAAUCAUUGGGCGUAAAGGGCUCGUAGGCGGUUCGUCGCGUCCGGUGUGAAAGCCCAUCGCUUAACGGUGGGUCUGCGCCGGGUACGGGCGGGCUUGAGUGCGGCAGGGGAGGCUGGAAUUCCCGGUGUAACAGUGGAAUGUGUAGAUAUCGGGAAGAACACC